ACGGGUGAGUAACACGUAUCCAACCUGCCGUCUACUCUUGGCCAGCCUUCUGAAAGGAAGAUUAAUCCAGGAUGGCAUCAUGAGUUCACAUGUCCGCAUGAUUAAAGGUAUUUUCCGGUAGACGAUGGGGAUGCGUUCCAUUAGAUAGUAGGCGGGGUAACGGCCCACCUAGUCAACGAUGGAUAGGGGCUCUGAGAGGAAGGUCCCCCACAUUGGAACUGAGACACGGUCCAA
rnacentral:rRNA from 1 species